rnacentral:rRNA from 1 species
AACGAACGCUGGCGGCAUGCCUAACACAUGCAAGUCGAACGAGGCCUUCGGGUCUAGUGGCGCACGGGUGCGUAACGCGUGGGAACCUGCCCUUAGGCUCGGAAUAACUCCCCGAAAGGGGUGCUAAUACCGGAUAAUGUCUUCGGACCAAAGAUUUAUCGCCUUUGGAUGGGCCCGCGUUGGAUUAGCUAGUUGGUAGGGUAAAAGCCUACCAAGGCGACGAUCCAUAGCUGGUCUGAGAGGAUGAUCAGCCACACUGGGACUGAGACACGGCCCAGACUCCUACGGGAGGCAGCAGUGGGGAAUAUUGGACAAUGGGCGAAAGCCUGAUCCAGCAAUGCCGCGUGAGUGAUGAAGGCCUUAGGGUUGUAAAGCUCUUUUACCCGGGAUGAUAAUGACAGUACCGGGAGAAUAAGCUCCGGCUAACUCCGUG